rnacentral:rRNA from 1 species
UACGAGGGGGGCGAGAGCGUUGUUCGGAAUUAUUGGCGUAAAGGGUGCGUAGGCGGUUUGGAAGUCUGAUGUGAAACUAUGGGCUCAACUCCAUAGUCUGCAUCGGAAACUGCCGGGCUUGAGUGUGGGAGAGGUGAGUGGAAUUCCUGGUGUAGCGGUGAAAUGCGUAGAUAUCAGGAGGAACACCUGUGGCGAAAGCGGCUCACUGGACCAUAACUGACGCUGAUGCACGAAAGCUAGGGGGAGCAAACAGG